UACGGGAGGCAGCAGUGGGGAAUAUUGCACAAUGGGCGAAAGCCUGAUGCAGCUAUGCCGCGUGUAUGAAGAAGGCCUUAGGGUUGUAAAGUACUUUCAUCGGGGAGGAAAAACAAAACUAAUAAUUUUAUUUCUUGACGUUACCCGAAAAAGAAGCACCGGCUAACUCCGUGCCAGCAGCCGCGGUAAUACGGAGGGUGCUAGCGUUAAUCAGAAUUACUGGGCGUAAAGAGCACGUAGGUGGUUUUUUUAAGUCAGAUGUGAAAUCCCUGGGCUUAACCUAGGAACUGCAUUUUGAAACUGAAAUACUAGAGUAUCGUAGAGGGAGGUAGAAUUCUAGGUGUAGCGGUGAAAUGCGUAGAUAUCUGGAGGAAUACCUGUGGCGAAAGCGGCCUCCUAAACGAAUACUGACACUGAAGGUGCGAAAAGCGUGGGGAGCAAAACAGGGAUUAGAUACC
rnacentral:rRNA from 1 species